GCGUUGUCCGGAUUUAUUGGGCGUAAAGAGCGUGUAGGCGGCCGGAUAAGUCUGACGUGAAAUCUGGAGGCUCAACCUCCAGCUGUCGUUGGAAACUAUUCGGCUAGAGUCCGGAAGAGGAGAGUGGAAUUCCCGGUGUAGCGGUGAAAUGCGCAGAUAUCGGGAAGAACACCUAUGGCGAAGGCAGCUCUCUGGGACGGUACUGACGCUGAGACGCGAAAGCGUG
rnacentral:rRNA from 1 species